UAAAUGGCUUUUCUAAAAGCCACACCCAUCCCUCUUGGAAGUUCAGU
rfam:Monodelphis domestica chromosome 5, whole genome shotgun sequence.